rnacentral:rRNA from 1 species
GAAAGUGGCGCACGGGUGCGUAACGCGUAUGCAACCUACCUUUAUCAGGGGGAUAGCCUCUCGAAAGAGAGAUUAACACCGCAUAAAAUCACAAGCUGGCAUCAGCAAAUGAUCAAAUAUUUAUAGGAUAAAGAUGGGCAUGCGUGACAUUAGCUAGUUGGUAAGGUAAUGGCUUACCAAGGCUACGAUGUCUAGGGGAUCUGAGAGGAUGACCCCCCACACUGGUACUGAGACACGGACCAGACUCCUACGGGAGGCAGCAGUAAGGAAUAUUGGUCAAUGGGGGCAACCCUGAACCAGCCAUGCCGCGUGCAGGAAGACGGCCCUCUGGGUUGUAAACUGCUUUUAUCCGGGAAUAAACCCUUUUACGUGUAAGAGGCUGAAUGUACCGGAAGAAUAAGGAUCGGCUAACUCCGUGCCAGCAGCCGCGGUAAUACGGAGGAUCCAAGCGUUAUCCGGAUUUAUUGGGUUUAAAGGGUGCGUAGGC